rnacentral:rRNA from 1 species
CCUACGGGUGGCAGCAGUGGGGAAUAUUGCGCAAUGGGCGAAAGCCUGACGCAGCGACGCCGCGUGAGGGAUGAAGGUCUUCGGAUCGUAAACCUCUGUCAGCAGGGAAGAACGGUCACUGUGCUAAUCAGCAGUGAAUUGACGGUACCUGCAAAGGAAGCACCGGCUAACUCCGUGCCAGCAGCCGCGGUAAUACGGAGGGUGCGAGCGUUAAUCGGAAUUACUGGGCGUAAAGCGCUCGUAGGCGGUAUGUCAAGUCAAGGGUGAAAUCCCCGCGCUCAACGUGGGAACUGCCGUUGAAACUGGCAAACUGGAGUGUGGGAGAGGAGAGUGGAAUUCCAGGUGUAGGAGUGAAAUGCGUAGAUAUCUGGAGGAACAUCAGUGGCGAAGGCGACUAUCUGGCACAUAACUGACGCUGAGGAGCGAAAGCGUGGGUAGCAAACAGGAUUAGAUACCCUUGUAGUC